CAAAAACAUGUCUUCGUGAAUUUCAUGUGAAGUCUAGCCUGCCCAGUGACGUCGAAGUUUAACGGCCGCGGUAGCAUGACCGUGCUAAGGUAGCAUAGUCAUUUGUCCUUUAAUUGAGGACUUGUAUGAACGGCUGAACGAGAAAUCAACUGUCUCUUUUGUAAAUUUUGAAAUUAACAUUUAAGUGAAAAGGCUUAAAUGGGAUAGGGGGACGAUAAGACCCUAUAAAUCUUGAUAAUGAGAUUAGUAACCUCAGAUAGUAGUUAUGAGUCUGAGGUUAAUAAUCUCAUUAUUUUGUUGGGGCGACAGAAGUAUAAUUUUUAGUAACUGCUUUGGCUUAAUAGUUAAUUAUUUUUAUAAUGUUUAUUGGUUAAGAUCCUUCUAUGAGGAUGCCAGAUCAAGUUACUUUAGGGAUAACAGCGUAAUCUUCUUUGAGAGUUCAUAUCGAAAGGAGGGGUUGCGACCUCGAUGUUGAAUUAAAGAACCUUUGUGGUGCAGCAGCUACUAAAGGAGGUCUGUUCGACCUUUAAAUCUUUACAUGAUCUG
rnacentral:rRNA from 1 species